CUUGGAGGACCAUUUUAUGAUUGGAGCCAGGUGUUGACAUCCAGAUAGAUUCCCACCCCAAGUUGGACUGUCUUCUUGCUACAGGUGAAUCUCUAAACAUUGGCAUCAGAGGACUACAAUGAGAAGAGCAGGCAGUGGGAAUGCGGCAUGCAGAAUAGGGUAGUAUCCAGGUGCUUACCCAGCAUCUUUUCUCAAAGGCAACCUAGAGAACCAUUUAGCAUUCACAGAGGCUUGGCAUACUACCAGUGAUAUGCAAAACACAAGGUCUACUUCAGGAGUGACUAGUGGACCACGAGUGGAUCAACAGGGGAGUGGCCAUAGCUCAGUGG